UAGUUUGAUCCUGGCUCAGCCUGAACGCUGGCGGCGUGGCUAAGACAUGCAAGUCGAACGACAUAGUGGCGAACGGGUGAGUAAUGUAUCGCUAAUCUACCCCAUGCUCGAGGAUAGCGACCGGAAACGGUCGGUAAUACUCGAUGUUCCCCAGAUUCCGCAUGGUAUCUGGUGCAAAACUCCGGUGGCAUGGGAUGAGGCGAUAUGGUAUCAGCUAGUUGGUGAGGUAACGGCUCACCAAGGCUUCGACGCCUAACCGGACUGAGAGGUCGGCCGGUCACAUCGGGACUGAGACACUGCCCGGACUCCUACGGGAGGCUGCAGUAACGAAUCUUCCGCAAUGCACGAAAGUGUGACGGAGCGACGCCGCGUGCAGGACGAAGCCCUUCGGGGUGUAAACUGCUGAAAGGAUCAAGUAAGACCUGAACUGGUCCCUAUAAGGAGCGACUAACUCUGUGCCAGCAGUCGCGGUAAUACAGAGGCUCCAAGCGUUAGGCGGAAUCACUGGGCUUAAAGCGUGUGUAGGCGGCCCCCAAAGUGCUUUGUGAAAUCCCUCGGCUCAACCGAGGAACUGCUGGGCAUACUGGGGGGCUUGAAUCAUCCAGGGGCAAUCGGAACUGAUGGUGGAGCGGUGAAAUGCGUAUAUAUCAUCAGGAACGCCAACGGCGAAAGCAGAUUGCUGGGGAUGUAUUGACGCUGAGACACGAAAGCUAGGGUAGCGAACGGGAUUAGAUACCCCGGUAGUCCUAGCCGUAAACGAUGUCUACUAGGCCGUGGGGGCACUGA
rnacentral:rRNA from 1 species